AAGUGAUCUAUUAUUUGAUAAAGGUGGCCGCUGAUUCAAAUUCAAACUUGGAUGAUCGGAGUAGAAUUGAUCAAUUGAUCAUUAGAUCAUUAAUCAGAAUUGAUUUCAUUGAUCAUUCCUCAAUUCCUCUCAAUAUUCUGUAAAUUUAUUAUAAAUACUCAGUCUUGGUGUUCAGUGAUUAUCUACGAACAAAAUGUAUCGUGUAUUUUAUAAUUUUCCACGUUCAAUUUUAAAAUUCUAAUACUCGACGUUUAUAGUUGGUUUCGUUAGCCCGAGUGUUCAAACACCGAACACCGCAAUGUCGCCAGUACCUGUUAACGGAAACCAGACGCCGCCUGGCAGUAAUAUGGUUCAAGAUGGUACAAAAGCAGGAACCAUAUCUCUCUCAUUACUCAUCGAUUUCAUUAUACAACGAACCUAUCACGAGUUGACCGUUCUAGCUGAAUUAUUACCCAGAAAAACAGAUACGGAAAGAAAAGUCGAGAUAUUCAAUUACGCCAACAGAACCAGACAACUUUUUAUAAGACUCAUGGCGUUGAUUAAAUGGUUAAACAGCGCGUCGAAAGUAGAGAAAUCAAAUCGAAUAAUGGGAUUCUUGGACAAACAAGCCUUGUUGUUCGUCGACACAGCCGAUUUGCUUGCCAGAAUAGCACGAGAUACGGUGGUUAAAGCUCGUCUUCCUUAUUUGCAUAUUCCUGCUGCGGUAGAAGUUCUCGCCACUGGUGCUUAUACCAGGAUUCCGUGUUGCGUUAAAAAUCGUAUUCUACCUAGUGAACCGAUUACACCUUCUGAAAGAAGGUCGGUAUUGCUAAAAUUGAAUCAAGUAAUACAGCAUCGUUUAGUAUCGAGCAAUUUACUUCCACAAAUGAAAAAUUUAAAAAUCGAAAACGGACGAGUAACAUUCCACGUUGCUAACGAGUUUGAAGUUUCGUUAACCGUAAUGGGUGACGAUCCUGUAAUGCCGUGGCGAUUAUUGAGUAUCGAUAUUUUGGUCGAAGACCGAGAAACCGGAGAGGGAAAGCCCUUGAGUCAUAGUGUACAAAAGCAGUACAUGCAACAAGUUUUGCAAGCGAGAAUCGCCGAGGCGACGGAUCCAUUGAAGGAAGUUUAUAGCUUUUUACAUUUCUUCUGUCAGUCGUUGCAGUUGGAGGUAUUUUUCUCGCAAACGAUAAAAUUAUGUAGAGAUCGACUCGACGGGCACGUCGCAGUGAAUAAGUAUUUUCAAGGAAAGAGUCUGUCCGUUUCGUAUUGGAAGGAGUUGACCGCGAAAGAUUCGAAAUCUGAACUGGGAUAUACGUUGACACUACUGGUUGAUACGAACAGACCCGAUAGGCCAUUGAAUGUUGUUCAUGUUCCAUCGUUGGAAUGCGCAGAAAUCGAUUCGAUGGAAGAAACUCUGAAUACGGAUCACUUAUCGAUGGAAAAAUUAUUAGUUCAUACGAUUUACAUUCGUUCUAAAAAUCGUUUGAUAGAACUGAAAAAAGAAAUAAAGUCGACUGUCAAAGGCAUCCGAUAUGAUCUACAAGGAACACCGGCUAUACUGUCGGUAGCAGUCUUGUGGCCAUGUUUGCCAGCGGAACAGCUUUUAGUGACAGUUGAUACGCAUACCGGUAUGAUACAGUGUCACAUACCGCAGUAUGGUAAUCGCUAUCCUCCGGUGGUGUCCGAAUUGCAAAACGCCUUCAAUACGGAUAGGUCUAAUAUUCCGGCUUUGAUAUCCGAUAUAAGGUAUUGGUUAGCGAAGCAACGUUGUUUGAAAACUUUGCAACAUUUGCCUGUGACUGUUGGCGAACAUUUGCCCCUAUUAUACGAAUCGACGCAUCCGAUUAACGAGAUCAGUAAACGAAGAAUGUAUGUUACUUUUCAUCGGCAUUCGAAUUUUAUUCUGAUUGUCGAAAUUAAAGAAAAGUUGAAAAAUCCUUGCGAAAUGGAAUACGGGUUUUACUUGAUCCACGUUAAACGAUCUACCGUCAAAGAAAAUGUCUCGAACGAUCCGUGCGAAGAAAACGAAGCUCCCAAAUUAUAUUUGAAAGCUUUCGCAAAAAUCCAGCUCGAUACUUUUGUUGUCACACACGGUUUCUCUACAUCGGUCAUCGAUGCUAUUCCUAACAAAUACGCUAGUUCGAAACGCAAAAACCUUAUCGCGAUUGAAACAGCGAGCAAAAAAACCAAGCAUCCGGCUUAUUUCAUACCAGAACUAGCUCAUGCGGUCGCGCUCUGCGACCAACGUAUACCAUUUACAACGUUGACUCAAGAAUUGACGAAACGAGAAAUAUCGCAUCAAGGCAUUCAAGUAGAAGCCAACGCUACCGCGUUGUCUGUGAAACUGAUUCAGUUACCGCCGCCGCCUGGUAUAGAUGUUACGAACCCCGGUUGGAUAACUUUAACGAAAAGACUGCUAUCCGUGUCUAUUCGAUCUAUUUCCAAAGAAAAUGGUCAUUUUUGGGCGAUAGAAUUUGUAAUGUACGGUACGCCGGUGAGUACGGCGAGUAUUCAUUCCAGAGAACAAGGUACGCGGCGUCCUGUUUAUUUUCAACAUGAAAUGAAUAGUUCGGAAUCGGCGAGCAAAAUAGUCGAUUCUUUGAUGGCAGAUUGGUCUCAAAUCGUUCAUUUGUAUUGCUUGAUAGAAGAUAUGGCCGAAUAUUCGAGACUCGGAAAAUUCAAUUCAUCAUCCGUCGCAACGGUGACGUCGUAUAAUUAUAGCUCGUUAGUGAUUUGUUACGGAGACGCCCGAAGGCAAGCUACUGCUACCUUUCGAUGGAACGCGAAUAUCAAUUCGUUCGAAAUUUCAUUCGGUUUCACGGGUAUAGGUUCGAACGCGCAUUCUCUCGUUAAAGAACAACUGGAAGAUCACCUCAAUAGAAAUAGGAAUUUAGCCCAGUUAAUUCAAAUUCUUUGCGAAACGUAUCCGCCUUUAGUGUCCUUGAAUAGAUUACCAUCGACGCCUCAUUUAUACGUUACUAAUUCGGAACCGCUCGCGCCUGUGAUAACUUUUAUCGUAAUAGCUCAGUCCUCUACCGUACUAAGGGUCGUUUAUCGAGCAAGUUGUUGCUUGGAAUUGACGUUGUUGAGCGACGGUUUGAUUAGCGUUCGUGAUGCAACGUAUUGCCCGUUUGAUAGAACUAACGUGGUUUCAGAAUUCGUACCUGCCGCUGGUUUGAAGGCUUUUUUGUCGAAAUACGAAGAUGAAAAAUCGAUUCUUCGAUGGCGUUUGCAUUCUGAAGAUGAUAAUUCGCCGUCUCCUAUUUGCGUUGACCCGGUCGAUAGUCUCGCCAGCUUUUUGAGUCAUCACAGAGGAGGUCCAAAAUCACCCAUUCAGCGAUCAAGUAGUCCAUGUACGCCCGCUAGUCCGCAUACCAGUGUAGCAUCACCGCCGUCGUUACAGUCAAACAUUAAUCUUUCACCCGGAUCUAGUUUAACGCGUGUUCCUAGUCCCGCUGGACUGGUGCCUACCGCUUCACCAGGUGCCUGCUCUAGCAACAUACCAGUUGGACAUACGUCUACCGAUUCGUUUUUAGCACAAGCGAGACAGUCGUCAAGAAUAUUACUGGAGACACCAUGGGCCGACGCCGUUUCUACCAUACUGUCUCACGAAGCUUUAGAUUCUCUUUGUACUCCAUCUGCUCAUCCGCAAGACUUACCUGGUCCGGAGCUUUGUCCUUUGGAGAGAUUUUUAGGUUGCGUGUCAUUGAGAAGACAUUUACAACGGACUGUACAGUCGGAAGAAAUCGUUUCUGAGUCAAUCCAAAAUCCGGAACUAGAUAUCGUAAAUUUCAAGGUGAACAGUCUGCAGUGUCUCGUUUGUACGAAUCAGGAUCAUUUUCAGUCGUUAAGCAUUAAAAUCACAGCAACGUCCGAAAACAAAGAACCAUGGACUGCAGAGGAGUUACAGGUGAUGGAAAAAUUUUUCGAUAUGAGAGUUGCCGCGCCGCCAUAUAAAUCACAUUCCGUCGAUAUGUUUACAAAACUUUUGACUUGUCAACAUCGCUUCUUACAAGAUUUCAUCCAAUUAAUAAAAUUAGAUUUGAUGCCAAAUUUAGUUCAGCAACAAGGGAUGAAGUGGAUGCCACAGAUAUGCCUGCGUGUACCUCCUACGGCAUUGUCGUUCGUUAAUGCGGGUGCGGUCGCUUUUGUUAUUCACGAAUCGAAGAUAUUGUUUUUCUUACACGUGGUUAAAGUCGGUUCGACCAGCGAUGUUCCAUUUUUAAUGUUGCCCGUCCUGUACGAUACGCAAAAUAAUACUACACAACUGGCUGAAAAGAAAGAUGAUCUUGCGACGAGUAAUCUGGCGUACGCGAGAGCGCAUAUCAAACGUUUCAGCGAGUAUAACACGCAGCACAACGAAUGUUCUCUCUUCCCUACGAUUCGCGACUUCCUAAUGAACUUUGCGCUACCUUCGGAGCCUUCUGCUUCGACGAUUCAAUCUUCCGCAGGACUUUCGCCGGUGAUGGCGAAUGCGCCUGCCCAACAGAUGAACCCGUCGUUACAAUAAUACUCGGUCGGUCCGUUCGAGAUGGUUGAAUAUAUAGUGAUAAGUAGUCGAAAAUUUCUACCGUUGUGUAUAACUUAAUUUUUGAUAGAAGCGAGGCAAAUCGAAACGAAAAUAAGCUAAGGAUAAAUAUUUUAAUUCGGACAAAAUGAUAUACGCGUAGUCAAAUCUCGGUACAGUCGACGGAGAUGGCGGCCUCAGCCCGGCAGCGUGAUAGAAAUUUACAGCUCUACCCUGAGGAGGCAAUUUAUUCGCAACGUUACCAGCAUCGCCGUCUUUCAAGGUGGAAAUUAUUUGAUUGGGCAUUUUGUUUCCAAAAUUCACCUACGAGUAUUUUAACAAUGAUUGCAAUUUGGCAGCUCCUUCCAUGUUUGAGAUGUUCGUUGUUAUCGAUGUUUAUAUUGCGUUGGAGAGUUAUUCUCAAUCCUCAUGAAACUGUGCUGUUGAACGAUUCGAUAAUGAUCACCUGCGUAGAACGGAUGAAUACUUACUCGGAAAGCAUUACAUGUUUGCCAGUAUCACCAUCAAUUAUCUGUCAGCAGACCCUUCGAUGAUUGAACGUAUCAGAAACAGUCUACAUGCCAUUUGCAAAAUGAAGUCAUCGUAAUUACUUUAUACCGAGCGAACAUCUCGAAUAAUUGAUCUGCAGCGAUUGGAAAAAACGUUUCGAUCUAACGUAGAAUUAUCGCCGAUGCUGAUGUCGAGAAUCAUCGAUUCAACAGUGCCCUAUCUGCAAGCUGAUCGUCAUCGACUCAUCGUCAUUCAGCUAUCGCGGCUCUUCGUCUACAGCAUCCCAUCCUGUCAGUGUAUGGGUUAGUUAUUGAAAAUUUUCAUCGAAUGAAUCGAUAUUCGAUAUAGUUCAAAAUGAUAGGAAAACAGGUAAACGAUACUUUAAUAGAACAAGUUACACGAUACCUUGACCAACGUACAUUGCUCAAUUUUUCUCGAAUUUUUUCGUAUAUGAAGGACGAACAAACGAAUAUAGGAUGAUUUUGAAUUCGCUUGCUGUACCAAAUUUACCUCUCGUUGUUUCGGAAUACGAUUUCCUGUAUUUAUUUUCAUUAUGGGCUCUCAAUGCGUUGUUAUUAUUACAUAAAAGAACAUGGUUGAUAAAUUUUGGAUGAUCGACACUAUUACUACCAACGAGCACUUAUAAUAUUGUUGAGAGUAUUUUAUUAUUUUUAAUAUGCAUGUUUCCCCUCCCCUCCACAAAAAAAACUGCUAAUUAUUUCGCUUCAUGUGUAAUAUUAGUUUUCAUAUUUCUAUAUUCGUGUUCGAUUCGCGAAAUUUCAUUGAAAUUCUUUGAUAUUUUAUUAUUCUUUUGGAAAUGAUUCGAUCGUAUUAUUGGCUCGCGGAAAUCAUCGUUCGUGGUUCGGUUUCUGAUUUUGUGAGAUGAUUUAGGCUCUCUGGGGCUGUAUAUUUUUUGGUUAUUUACUCGUAGUAUUAAGGAUAGGUACAAGUUUAACUACAACUUGAUAUCGUACCAGUUGCGGAUCAUAAGUUUUUUUCAAAUGUGAUAUGUUCGCAUGUAGCGCUGAUGGUGAGGGUAUUUGCGUGCAGAUUAUAGGUAUAGGUAAUUGUUUUGAGGUUAAAAUGUUUGCAGGUAGUGUGCUGGUGGUGAGUGUUUUAUAUGUAUAGGGGAUGCGGUUGUGGCUGGUCUUGUUAAGUGCUGUCCAUCCUCGCCUGUUAAGCAUCACCCCACAACCGUACUUUUUCCACUUUUCACGACAACCUGGCGGCGUGAUCCCUUGAAAAUUUCACUUUCUGAUAGCUUCACUUUCUGAUGGCAUAGCGGGCGCCUCGUGUUCAAAGCCGUAUGGUGCUGGGGGAGCGUCAUUCGGCGACUUGUCUGCUAGUGCUGCGGCGCAGCGGCCUGCUCAAUGGUGACGUAGUCAUCCUCUGGCUCACUCCUGCGACGCUCAGUGGGGUCGUCCUUACGGCGGCUUCGACUGUAUACCCAAGUCAUAAUAAGGGGUUGUCGUAAGAGGUUACGACUCAUACGGUGGAAACGUUUGCGUUCUAUCUAGUGGUUGUGAGCCGUUGGCUUGACCAGCUCACUACUGCGACCUUAGUUCCGGUUCAUCAAAGAUAUGGAGCAGGGAUGGUUUAUGUUGCCCUACGAAUCGCAAUAUUGCCAUUCUUGCCGUCGAGGAUGACCUGCCUUGGUUGGAUCGUCAGAUCUGCCUGCGAUCCAACCACACGCAGUAAGUGGUGCACUCUAGGUUUUCCAUCACUUGCUUGCGUGGAAUGUCACGUGAGUUUUUUUGAGAGAAAUUUCAAACCUGAAAGGCUGAACUGGUUUUGUUGCUUCUGUCAACUUGCCAGGCAGGUGAGCGUAUGUGUAGCGAGUAUGGUGAUCUGGACUGCGUACGAUGUCUGGUUGUAAUUGAAUUUGUAUUUUUAAAUAAAAUUUUAAUAACAAACCAUCAAGUAGGAAUAAAUUUGUAAAUCAACGAAGGGUUUCUAGAUGGGCUGCUAUAUUUGAUAAUCGUUGAAGUUAUGGAGUACCUAGACCUACAUAUUUUAUCGAGCUGAAAUACAUAUUUGAAACAUCGUUGAAAUUAAAAAUGAAUUUUUGAUAUAAUUUUACUAAAAUGUGAUAUCUGUUUUGUUUUGAAGAAAAUUUGCCGUUGGGUCCGUACCGAAUGGUUCUUGUGUAUUUUUUGCGUGAUACUACACCCCACCUGCCCCUUAUUUUGUUUUUUUGUUUCAUUUUUCUCCAAUACCGAAGUAGUUUUAAAUUAUUUAGAUACAAAAAUAUUCAGAAAAAUCGAUUUCCAAUCAUUCCCUUCACCCCCACACUCGUUUUGCGAAUUUAUUUUGUUAUUGUGUUUUCAUCUUUUUGUUAUGUUAUAGGUAAUGAUGCAUUAUGUUGUUGAUGUUUGUAAUUUAAUGUUCAUAUAUUUGUGUUUAUUUACAUAAGGUUAACCUUGCAACUGUUUUGUAUUGAUCGAUCAAUUUAAUAUUCAUGUAUUUGUAUGUACCUUACUUACGGCCAAUCAUGCUACUGUUUUGUAAUGAUCGAUCAAGGUUUUUCACGUCGAGCGGCCGGCGUGUUUUUUAGCCCAGAUCGAUCAGUAAUUUGUGCCUACGUGUUUUUUUUUGUCUGCCGCUAAUUUGUUGGAAGUUGAGUUUUGGU